GGCUCUCUGGAAAAGCCUCCCUUACUGUGUAGGUGGAGAGCCCAUAACAGCACUGUGGUGAGUGUUGAGCACUUCAUGUUCAGUUCAGAUUCAUUCAUUCUGAGCGGCUCCUCGGACAGAAGCGCCAGACUGUGGACCCCAGAUGGGAAAUUUGUGGGAACCUUUGGGCAGGAAAAGAGAUGGGACUUGAAAAAUCCAUCAACAUUUGCCCACCCCAAGGAUCCCUGGAGUGAGAGAAGAGAAAUCAGGAAAAAACGAACGCCAACCAAGCAGCCGGCAUAUACUGAUGGGCGGCUCUUCAGUUCAAGGGAGCUUGUCAGAAAUGUGGUGGGAGAGACAGAAGAGAAGGUAAACCAGGAGAUCAAUGGGGGAAGCGCAAUGGAGGAGAAAGAGCAACUGCAGGAGUUCCAAUUACCAAGAGCGGAUGGUGCCCAUCCUUCCACAUCCCCCAGCCAGAUUUCUGCCGCGGAUGCAGUGCAAAGCAGCCUGACAACUCCACAAGUGUUCACCGGUACCUCAAAUCAAAGAAAACACGAGUGCCAGAGCCUUUUCAGACACCAUCUGGAAAAUGACCUGGUGAAAAGAAUUACAGGAAGGAAAGCCCGUCGGCGUGUGUUUGGGGCUAUCAGUGCUAACAAAUUCAACCGGUUUGGGACACUCUGUUCACCUUUUCAUGCACUAGUAACUCCGGUAAGCAUCCUUCUCUUCGGGUAGUUUUAGAUUAAAUACAAACCAGCCCUCCAGCUGCCAAAGCCCAUCCUGCCAAUAGCCAUUCCAACAGCAUUUUCAGAAUCAGCCAAUCAAUGACUCCUGGCGAACAAGCUGGCUGUUUUCAUUAUAUUUUCCUUGCGGCUUUUCCUGUAAGGGUUAAUAUUUUCUCCAUAAACUUCCCUACAAAAGGAUUAAGCAAGUAAGUAAAUCAGCUAGCUGUUUGUUAAUGGGUUAACUU
rnacentral:lncRNA from 1 species